rnacentral:rRNA from 1 species
AGCAGAACACGUAUUAGAGGCACUGCCUGCCCAAUGAAUCAACUUUUCAAUGGCCGCAGUAUACUGACUGUGCAAAGGUAGCAUAAUCACUUGUCUUCUAAAUAGAGACUAGUAUGAAGGGCAAGACGAGAGCUUUUCUGUCUCUUCUGCUAAGCCAAUGAAAUUGACCCCCCUGUUCAAAGGCCGGGAUAAUAAAAUAAGACGAGAAGACCCUAUGGAACUUAAAACAUAAGCCAAUUUUACACACACCCGUCAGGGUCCAAACUAAACCAUGGUCCUCUGUUUUUGGUUGGGGCAACCGCGGAGAAGAAAUAUCCUCCGAGAACACUGACUGAGUUAUACACAACAAAAUCUUAUAAAAAUACAUAACGACCCAAUACAAUUGAUCAACGAACCAAGCUACCCUAGGGAUAACAGCGCAAUCUUUUCCGAAAGUCCAUAUUGACGAAAAGGCUUACGACCUCGAUGUUGGAUCAGGAUAACCCGACAGUGCAACCGCUGUCAAAGGUUUGUUUGUUCAACAAUUAAAAUCCUACGUGAUCUGAGUUCAGACCGGAGCAAUCCAGGUCGGUUUCUAUCUAA